GAUGAACGCUGGCGGCGUGCCUAAUACAUGCAAGUCGAGCGAACGGACGAGAAGCUUGCUUCUCUGAUGUUAGCGGCGGACGGGUGAGUAACACGUGGAUAACCUACCUAUAAGACUGGGAUAACUUCGGGAAACCGGAGCUAAUACCGGAUAAUAUUUUGAACCGCAUGGUUCAAAAGUGAAAGACGGUCCUGCUGUCACUUAUAGAUGGAUCCGCGCUGCAUUAGCUAGUUGGUAAGGUAACGGCUUACCAAGGCAACGAUGCAUAGCCGACCUGAGAGGGUGAUCGGCCACACUGGAACUGAGUCACGGUCCAGACUCCUACGGGAGGCAGCAGUAGGGAAUCUUCCGCAAUGGGCGAAAGCCUGACGGAGCAACGCCGCGUGAGUGAUGAAGGUCUUCGGAUCGUAAAACUCUGUUAUUAGGGAAGAACAUAUGUGUAAGUAACUGUGCACAUCUUGACGGUACCUAAUCAGAAAGCCACGGCUAACUACGUG
rnacentral:rRNA from 1 species